rnacentral:rRNA from 1 species
CCUACGGGUGGCAGCAGUGAGGAAUAUUGGACAAUGGACGAGAGUCUGAACCAGCCAAGUAGCGUGAAGGAUGACUGCCCUCUGAUCUUUCAACUUCUUUUUUAUCGGAAUAAAUUGUUCAGAGUGAGGGUUCUCGUUUUUACCUUAUGAAUAAGGAUCGGCUAACUACGUGCCAGCAGCCGCGGUAAUACGAAGGAUACGAGCGUAAUCCGGUUUUAUUGGGUUUAAAGGGACCGUAGGUGGAUUGUUAAGUUAGUUGUGAAGGUUUGCGGCUCAACCGUAAAAGUGCAGUUGAAACUGGCAGUCUUGAGUACAGUAGAGGUGAGCGGAACUCGAGGUGUAGCGGUGAAAUGCUUAGAUAUCACGAAGAACUCCGAUUGCGAAAGCAGCUCACUGGACUGCAACUGACACUGAGGCUCGAAAGUGUGGGUAUCAAACAGGAUUAGAUACCCGGGUAGUC